AAGAUCAAAAUAGAUUUGAUAAAGCUCCUAAAAAAGGCGAACCCUUUGAAGAAACAUGGAAUCUUCAUUCCAUCGCAAGAUGCAUGUAUGCAACAGAUAAUUUUGAAAAAUCACGGGCAAAGUGGAAAGCAGCAGAAAAUACUUCUAACUGGGAUACGGAUUCUGAAAAUUUUGAUACUAAUAGAAUAAGAAAAAGGGUUAGGUCUUCGAGAUUAUUAGAUAGUGAUGAUGAAAGUGAUGAUGAACAUCUGACUAUAAAUAAGAAAACAGUAAUUUGUAGACCACCACAACCAAGAGCAAAGUUACUACCAUUUGAGAAUAAUAUUUUAAGUGAAUCGCAAUCGAGCAACUGAGCAAGCAACUUUUUUAUAUCAAAUACAACGCCAGUAAAUGACAGCCGCUUAGUGGCUUUGACAACAACUUCAUCUGUGUUUCAGGAAGCACACUGUUCAACAAUAAGGACUCCUAUUCCAAAUGUAACAAACUCUAUUAUAGAAGCUCCAGCAGAUUACAAGCGGCUGAUAACUUUGUUGGUUCAAAUAAAAGAACAAAAUAAUCAAAUAAUUGAGCGUUUGGAUGGAAUCCCACAGUUUACCAAUUUAAGCGGCUCUCACCAACAAAACAAUUUGCCUGACAAUUUUCCAGUUGAAUUGCCGAUUACAUCAGAAGAAGAAUGACAUUUAUUGGAAGGCUUUCUAAAUAAGAGUAAUAUCCCUUUAUUGACUUCCUAUUUGGCAACAUUGGGAGGGAGUGGUGUUGCAGCUAAAACAAACCGCAUUUUAAGACGUUUGUUAUCUGAUGCCUUAGCAGUUAAUUACAGCUUUCUUGGAAAAAGAAAUAAUAAAAAACCAUUUGCACACCUAAAAUUAAAAUCAGUUGUGGUUGAGGCCAUUCGAAUGAAUUCAGCAGAUAUAACAGAGAAAGAUAUUGAGGACUGCGUUAAAUCGUGGUUAAAGCAUUCUCCCCAAAGAUUAAACAGCUCACAGCGAGCUUCUAAGUAAUUGUGUUUAAACAUGUUUUAAAGAAAAAACCACAAAGUAUGAGUUGGACGGCGUCAGUUUUACAGGAGAAUAGCUAAAGAAGUAGAAGAUAUACUUAAAACUGAUAGUUCAGAAAAUGUAAGUCAAUUCAGUCCUAAUUGUCAUAGUAACAGUUUAGUAUGUGUAAAUGAAUUACCUGUUUGUUCGAAUUCGAAGGUUUGUUCUAGUGUAUCUGAUUUAACUAUUUGAGAUAUUGCAAAAUUUUCUAAUUUACCUGA